rnacentral:lncRNA from 1 species
CUCUCCAAUUAAUUCCAAAUUAAAUCAAUUUCACUGAGAAAAUUCUCUAUGUAAUUAUCAAGAACAAGAUGCCCAUUAUGCAGUAAGCAGUCAAAGCAUCAUAAACUGGAUUGCAUUGCCACAGAGGCUCAUAAAAGCGCAAGUUCCCCACUUGGAGCACUGGCAUGACAAUGACCAGAGAUACCCACAAGCUCAAUCAUCCUCGUGGCCUUGGCCCAUUUCAACUUUAUUCCAAUCUAAUGAAUUUGACCAUUUCUUUUUUCUAAAAUAAUUUGGGAUGAACCGCUGCAGUUAAUGACAAUAGGGCUUACACUUUACAAUGUAGGGACACGUCAUCCUUCCUUCUUCACCCUCAUUCCAUGUUGCUAAUGAAAGUCCCCUGAAAAAAGCUCAGCUUUUUAAGUUCACAUUGAAAGUCAACAAUCGAACUUCCGUGACCUUUUUUACCAAAGAAUAUAAAGGGGGGAAAUACCCAGAAAUUGAAACUCCACUCCGUGUUUAUCACACGAGAUUCUUUAAAAAAUUUCAGAAUAUCCCACAAAAAAUUUCUCAUCGCCCGGAUUUUUCCAUAACAUAGCAAAAAAGAGAAGAAAAAGGGAAUGGGAAGGAGAGACACAGGAAGAGGUUUCUAGGGGAGGAAGGCGGAGAUGGGCUGGCACUUGGCAGUAACGAAGGAGUGCAGUACAAAAAGGUGUGUGUACCUGUUGAUUGCCGCCAAAGCAUCAAAAGGCAAAAUCCAGCAAGAAGAAAGGCAGGAGGGAAAGCCUGACAGAAGUGUCUGAUUGCAGGUGUAGGUGUAGCUCAGUAAAUGGCGCAGAGAGAGAGAGUAGCGCGUGUCCUUUGUGGUCGAGUUUUUUUUUUCGGACCAGUUGCGGUUGAGUUGACAGCAAGUAGAAGAUUAGCAAAGCCGAAUUAUAAAUAAG